CAAUUGCGACUUGAGGCCAUUAGAUUAUCAAUCGUUUCUGCAACCAAAAGCCAACAUUAUUAAUAGAGAAAAUGCUACAAAUGAUGCAUUGUUCAAUGAUAAAAACUGAGAAAAUAUGAAAACAGACACAUGGCAUGCAAGCUGACUGUUAGUCGUCCAGGCUAAAGAAUCUGGCUAGUCCGCUCAUUAUAUAAGGUAGGCCAAAAUAUAGAGAAGAAAUGGCAGUUUGCAUUAAAUAUACACAAGUGUUCUCAACCUGAUUAAUGGACCAACCUGCUUUUCUUGGCCAAGGAAACUGCACGUUAUGUAUGAUCCAGGUGAUGGAUCUAUUACAUUUGUCACAUGAAUAUUGUGGUUAUAAAUGAGUGGAAUUAUCAAAUGUCCUUGUCACAAAAAAUAAAAUAAAUUCAAACAUCCUUGUCACAGAGAUAAAUAUCAUUCUCAGUAAUUUCUCUACUAGUAGAAUUCAAGGUAGAUUUUAGAUUUCGAGGUUUUCUAGGAUAUUAUUGGGAAUAUCUUGGUGAAACUAAAAAGAUUUAAAAAAUGUUUGUCACAUGAAUACUGUGUUACAAAUUCGUGGAAUUUCAAAUGUCCUUCUCAGCAAUUUCUCAGCCAGCCAGUCCCCAGACCAGGUAAAAGGAGGGUUGAUGUCAUGUAGGUAGCUGGCCUGAAGUUCUGUCAAGCAGUCAUGAGAAUUCCUGUUUCAAAUCUUGAUAGAAGAAACACUAUUUGAGUUAUGGAACAUCUUUGUUUGCUUAAAUUUUUUUUUUCUUUUUGAUGCAAUCUGUUCAUGUAUGACAAACAUAAUUAUUGGUCUUUCAUCAUGGACUUGAUGGGGGCAAAAGUCCAAAGUGACCAUGUUCUCAUACAACUAGAAUGCUAAGGUUAAUAACAUAAAAUUCCAAGUUUCUGCACGCUCAAUUGACUUUCUAGUUUAACAAUCUUAUUAUGUCUCUUUCUUCAAGUCAUUUUGAGUCCUUGAUCGAAUUUAUUGAGUUUUGAAAGCUUUUGCUUGAUCUUAUUUUCUCAACUUUCAAAGACAAGAUCAAGUUUUUGAGUACUUGAUUUCUCGUGUGCUCUUAUCAACUUCUCUUUCCUUUUCUUGUAACUAAUAUUCCCCCUUUAGUAUUUCUUAAGACGAGUUGAAUCUCCUCAGCUUUCUUGGGCACUAAACACUGUUGUUUUUAGAUGUAACUUCUCACUAAAGAUUCACAGUCUUCUUGAAAAAUAAUGUAAAACCAACCCCAAAUAAAGGGCCCAAAAUGAAGCACCCACAUUUGUUUGAAAAGUUAUGUUUGCUGAUAAUAUGAAAAAUUUCGGGGUUUUUUCUUCAUUCUAGGGGAGAUUUAUUCAUAUGUAUUUUCUAAUUUGCCAAAAGCUAAAACAUUUUAAGUUAGUGGAAAGAUUUUGAUGAGGACAUCAGAGCACCAUUCAUUAGGCUUUGGUUGGAGUGGGAGGCAAACUGCCUUAGUGGGAAUUUAAAUGCUGCCAACUCUCUCUCUCAGACGAAGCUCUGAGUUCUAACAUGGACUGGUCAAAGCAUCCAAAAUCUGUGUUGAUUAUGGACGAGGUUGAUGGAAACCUAUGAAACAACAGGUUCUUUGUUUGCUUGAUGUUGAUGCAGAAUAGCCUGUGAAGACUUUUCUAACC